GUGCUCGCUUCGACAGCACAUAUACUAAAAUUGGAACAACAUGGAGAAGAUUUGGCGGCCCCUGCACAAGGGUGACACACAAAUUCGUGAAGCUUCCAUGUUUUUA